rnacentral:rRNA from 1 species
UGGGGAAUAUUGCACAAUGGGCGCAAGCCUGAUGCAGCCAUGCCGCGUGUGUGAAGAAGGCCUUCGGGUUGUAAAGCACUUUCAGCGAGGAGGAAGGUGGUGGACUUAAUACGUUCAUCAAUUGACGUUACUCGCAGAAGAAGCACCGGCUAACUCCGUGCCAGCAGCCGCGGUAAUACGGAGGGUGCAAGCGUUAAUCGGAAUUACUGGGCGUAAAGCGCACGCAGGCGGUUUGUUAAGUCAGAUGUGAAAUCCCCGGGCUCAACCUGGGAACUGCAUUUGAAACUGGCAAGCUAGAGUCUCGUAGAGGGGGGUAGAAUUCCAGGUGUAGCGGUGAAAUGCGUAGAGAUCUGGAGGAAUACCGGUGGCGAAGGCGGCCCCCUGGANGAAGACUGACGCUCAGGUGCGAAAGCGUGGGGAGCAAACAGAUUAGNUACCCUGGUAGUCCACGCUGUAAACGAUGUCGAUUUUGGAGGUUGUGCCCCUGAGGCGUGGNUUCCGGAGCUAACGNGUUAAAUGA